AGUGAACGCUGGCGGUAGGCCUAACACAUGCAAGUCGAACGGCAGCACAGUAAGAGCUUGCUCUUACGGGUGGCGAGUGGCGGACGGGUGAGGAAUACAUCGGAAUCUACUUUUUCGUGGGGGAUAACGUAGGGAAACUUACGCUAAUACCGCAUACGACCUACGGGUGAAAGCAGGGGAUCUUCGGACCUUGCGCGAUUGAAUGAGCCGAUGUCGGAUUAGCUAGUUGGCGGGGUAAAGGCCCACCAAGGCGACGGUCCGUAGCUGGGCUGAGAGGAUGGGCAGCCACACUGGAACUGAGACACGGUCCAGACUCCUACGGGAGGCAGCAGUGGGGAAUAUUGGACAAUGGGCGCAAGCCUGAUCCAGCCAUACCGCGUGGGUGAAGAAGGCCUUCGGGUUGUAAAGCCCUUUUGUUGGGAAAGAAAAGCAGCAGGUUAAUACCCCGCUGUUCGGACGGUACCCAAAGAAUAAGCACCGGCUAACUUCGU
rnacentral:rRNA from 1 species